UGAGUUCAGUAACUACGUGCAUUUUCAUUUAUUUUCUUACUUUUUAGCUUAUUUAAAAAGCAACGGCUGAUCGAAGAAUGAUAAACCUUCUCAUUCUAAAAUUCUAGCUUCAAUCAUUAGUCUAACAAACAGAUCACUUACCAGCCACAGAGAAACUAUUUCAAACUAAGCUUCUAGUACCUUGGUUCAUUUAUCAGCUCAUUUCCUCGCGUGAAUGAAAAAACUCCCUUAUUCCUCAAAUGGUGUUGUUUCAUUGAAAUUAAAUUCUAAAAAGAAGUAAUUGGAAGGUGUCAGUUUUUAGUUGUGCACACCAAUGUGUUUUACUGUUCUCCAGAGCUCACUGUUCAAACAGAUUACACCCAUAAGGUUAAGUGAAAAAUAAAUUAAUAGGAGAGACAUCACAGGAUAGCCAAUUACCUGGAAUGUCAAGGACAAUACAAUCAAGUACACACAAACACAAAAUAUAUAUCACCACUGAGCCUCUUGUGGCUAAUCUCAAGCAAAUGUAACAUUAAAGCUUUCGAAGUGGAAGCAUAGUGAUGCAGCACCAAUGAAACAGUUAAUUGAGAAAUAAAACAGAUCUAUGGGGAGGGAGAAUUAGAGAGGGAAAGGGAAGGGGAUUCAACAGAAGAGAAGAAAGGCAACAAGAAGAGAGAAAACACCAUAAGCCACCAAAAAUGUUCAUUCAUCAUCAACUGAAAAUUAUAAUACAAAAUAGGUUUAAAUAGUUAAACAACCCUAACAAGUUUGGCCCCGAGCCCAUACAAGUCCAAAUCUUAAGUAAUAGUCCAAAAGAUAAAUAAAGCGUAAAUAAAAUAAGUAGUGUCCGAUGUCACGUCCGAUGUCCUCAUCAACUCUCCCGGGGUAGGAGAAAACUCGACCCUGUCGAGUGGAUAUAUCACUCUAGGCUGUCAUCAUCUCCCAACCAUAAGCUGAGUGGUUAGGCAAAUUUCUUUCGACGUCUGUAAAAAUGUGUCAAUGGAGGUCUGAAUCUGGUGUCCUCGCUAACUCCCCUCGGGUGGACAGGAGGCGAUCUGGGCCAAGGAAGAUUUGCUGACUCCGAUAAAACUCCAAUAAAUUUGGAUCCAAUUGCUGUAGUGUCUCCCUGGAGAUCCAUGCACAGUCAGAAUCUGGUUGACCAACCCAACGAACAAGGAAGCGCUGAACCUCUCCAUCAUUAGUAAACACAGUUUCUUCAUUUAAAAUAGCAUCAAUUUUUUCUUUGUGUGCUGUGAGAGGUGGUAGGGGGUUAGAAGGGGCCAAAGAAUCAGGAUCAAGGUCCACAAAAGGAGGUGACAGAAGAUCAUCUGAGGGAAUGAAAUGGCCUUUAUAAGCUACAAGGUCCUCAACAUUGAAAGUAGAGUGAUAACCAAGGUGUUGUGGAAUGUCAACAAUAUAUGUAUUUGGACCAAUCUGCUUUAAAAUUUUAAAAGGAUCAACACUACGAGCUUGCAAUUUGGAGGCGGAUCCAUGUAGACGACGCUCUGGCCUAAUGCGAACCAUAACGUAAUCCCCAAUGUGAAACUCAAUAUGUCGUUUGUGUAAAUUAGCUUGGAGUUUAUACUUUGCAUUACUAGCUUCAAGUUGUUUAUUGAUCUCAAUAUGCAAGUCACGAAGAUGAUGUGUAAAUGCUUCGACUGAUACUGACACUCUAGCCUGAGGGGACAUAGGGAUGAGAUCUAAUGGUUUCCUAGGCUUGUACCCAUGAACGGCUUCAAAUUGACUCAUACCUAAUGAACGAUUUAUAGAGUUAUUAUACGCAAUUUGAGCUACAGGAAGGAUCAAAUCCCAAUUUCGAAGAUUUUUUCGGACCAGACAACGAAAUAGGUUACCAAGACUUCGAUUAACUAUUUCAGUUUGACCGUUAGUCUGAGGGUGGUAGGCCGUAGAAAAUUUCAAUUUGGUACCCAUCUUAUGCCACAAAGUUCUCCAAAAGUGGCUAGUGAAACGAACGUCCCUAUCAGACACGAUGGUUUUGGAAAGCCCAUACAAUUUGACAAUUUCAUUAAAGAAUAACAUGGCAACCUUGGACGCAUCCGACGUCUUGCUACAGAGGAUAAAAUGAGCCAUCUUUGAGAAGCGAUCAACAACCACAAAAAUGGAAUCAUGUUUCUUUGGGGUGCGUGGAAGUCCUAACACAAAAUCCAUACUAAUAUCGUGCCAAGGACAAUUGGGGACAGGGAGGGGGGUGUAUAGACCUGUGUUCUGCUUCUUCUGCUUACUCAAUUGACAAGUAUUACAAGUACUAAUAAUCUUAGCCACGUCUUUCUUCAAGCUAGGCCAAUAGAAUUGACGUUCAACUUCCUCAAUGGUCUUAUCACGUCCAAAGUGACCGGCUAACCCUCCCACAUGAAUUUUCCACACGACGAAAUCUCGCACUGAAGUACGAAGGAUGCACAAUUUAUUGACCCUAAAGAGAUAACCGUCUUCAAGUCGGAAGCCAUCUGUGGUACCUGAUUGUCUCCUUUGUAAAUCAAGAAAGAUAUCUUUAAAAUCGGGACAUGCCUCGUAAUCCUCCUUAAGUCUUUCAAAACCGAUGACCUUGACACUCAUGAUCGACAAAAGGGAGACACGACGACUUAAUGCAUCAGGUGCUUGGUUUUCGACGCCCUUCUUGUGUUUUAAAAUAAAUGAAUAGGCCUGCAAAUAUUCGACCCAACGACCAUGCCUAGAACUUAAUCUUUUCUGGGUGUUGAGGUAACGGAGGGCCUCGUGAUCCGAAUAAAGGACAAAUUCCUGGGGUAAUAAAUAGUGGCGCCAAUAGCGCAAAGCCUGAACCACUGCAUACAGCUUCUUAUCAUAAGUUGAGUACCGCUGUUUGGCUUCAUUUAACUUUUUACUGAAGUAAGCAACAGGGUGACGAUCCUCACUUAAGACUCCACCUAUACCUACCCCGGAGGCGUCACAUUCAACUUCAAAGACUUUGGAAAAAUCGGGAAGACGCAUGACAGGAGCCUCCGUCAUUCGCUUCUUGACCAACUUAAAGGCCUUAGCCGCUUCUUGUGUCCAAUGAAACUCUCCUUUCCUCAUGCACUCCGUAAUAGGUGCCAUAAUAGUGUUAAAUCCCUUAAUAAAGCGACGGUAAAAUGUAGCUAAACCGUGAAAGCUCUUGACGUCAUAAAUAGCUGUAGGCUCAGGCCAGUCAAUAAUCGCCUGAACCUUAGCAGGGUCCGCAGAUACCCCUGCCGAAGAGAAAAUGAAUCCCAGAAAAACGACUGUAUCUGUGAAGAAAGAGUACUUCUUGAUGUUAGCAUAUAGAUUAGUUGCACGAAGGGUAGAGCAAACUUGUGUGAGCUGAUCAAGGUGUUGCUCCUUAGUCUUACUAUAGAUGAGGAUAUCAUCAAAGUAGACAACAAGAAAUUUUCCCAUGAAAGGUCAGAGAGUUUGUGUCAUUACUCGCAUAAAGGUGCUUGGCGCAUUACUUAGCCCAAAAGGCAUGACCAGCCAUUCAUAAAGACCAUUUUUCGUUUUAAACGCGGUCUUCCACUCAUCACCUGGGCGAAUUCGAAUCUGGUGGUAUCUACUUUUCAGAUCAAUCUUCGAAAAGAUUGUGGCACCAAUCAUCAUAAACGAUACUUCACCGUAAUCCUAUUGAUCGCACGACUGUCCACACACAUCCUCCAAAAAUCAUCCUUUUUGGGCGUCAAUAGGCCGGGGACAGCACACAGACUUAAACUCUCAUGAAUGAAUCCUUUGUGAAGGAAGUCAUCCACUUGCUUUUGAAGUUCAGCGUGCUCAGUAGGAUUCAUCCUAUAAUGAGGCAAAUUUAGGAGGGAUGCCCCUGGGACGAAAUCUAUGACAUGUUGAAUAUCCCUUAGUGGAGGUAGAUGGUCAGGUAGGUCUUUCGGAAAGACGUCUCAAAACUCUAGGAGGACCGACAAGACUUCAACAGGGCUCUCUAUUGUGGAGUGGGAUGGAACUUCCAUGACCACCAAAACGAACACAAUUGAGUCGCCAACAAGUGUACGCUCAAACUCCGUAGGACUAAUGAUGUGCAAUUCCUUUCGUUCCACACUUUUCUUCGUUUCCAGUGAGCCAGGCUUUGGGGGCAGUGGGUUAAGGUGAAUCUUCUUUCCAUUAAACACGAAGAAGCAGGAAUUGGAUCGACCAUAAAUGGUUACAUCUAGGUCAAAUAACCAAAGUCGUCCCAAGAUGAUGCGCCCGACAUCCAUUGAAAUAAAGUCACACCAUAUAUGAUCCUUAUACUCGAGAAAUUGGAUAGGGACUAAACAACGCUCCUUGACAGCUAUGGAGGAGGUAUCAACCCAAGAGACGCUGUAUGGCUGAGGGUGAGGAACAGACUUCAAUCCUAGAUGGGAUACAGUAGCCAUCGAAACCGUAUUAAUGCAGCAGCCACUAUCCACGAUAACUUUACAGCCCUUAUUAUUAAUCUUGAUGUAAGUGUGAAAGAUGGCAUGACGACGCCAAUCAUCGGCAUCCCUAGGCUGGGUAAGAGUACAACGGACGACACCAACUCUAGGCGUAUGUGGGAUAAGAGGACUAGCCUGAAUACAACCCAAGAAGGUAUCCUCACUAUCCUCCAAGUCAUCAAACUCUUCUAACUUAGGCUCAUAAACCUGAUCCUCUAGUGGCUCGUCAACUAUAUCCUCACGCUCUUCCAAAACUAGGGCUCGGCUAGGACACUUAGAAGCAAUGUGACCAAAAUCCUUACAGUUGAAAUAUUGCAAACGAGAGGACGUUCUUGAAAUCUCAGAACCUCUACCUUUACUAUCCGAUGUAGGGAUAGUAUUAGGAGGAGGAGGUCCUAGAAUAGAUUUAGGGGAUGGAGUGGAUGCAGAAGAGGUUGCAGUGCGGGAGUCACUACGACUUCUGCACGGUGUCCUAGUCACUAACUCGUAAUCCCGAACGAAAGAGUAGGCGUGGUCAAGAGUGGUGACACCUCUAAGAACAAGUUCACGUCUAAGAUCAUCUCGUAGGCCUUGUCUAAACCUACUCAAGGUCAUGACUUCAUCCUCAACGACCUGACAUCUCAUUCGAAACUCGUCAAACUGAGCAACAUAUUUGGUCACAGGUCAACUGCCUUGCGUAAGUGCGUUCCAUUGAUCCAACAAGUUGCCCUUAUAAGAUUGAGGUAAAUAUUUUUCUUCAAGGCGGCGCUUCAUUUCAUCCCAGUUCCCAACAGGGGGAGCAUGACGCCUCUCUAGGAGGUCCUCAACACUUUUCCAAAACAGUUGAGCUGUGCCAGUUAAUUUCAAACUGGCAAAUUGUACCCUCCGAUCUUCAGGGACCCCAUACCAGGUAAAGAAGCGAUUCAUAUCUCUAACCCAUUGAUUGAAUACACUAGGAUCUAGACAACCAUCAAAUGUAGGGACAUCUAACUUGAUAUUUCGAAAGAGGCGCUCCUCGUGGCGAGGGGGAGAUAGUGUACCAUGAUGGUGAUAUUCCCGCUCGCGUCCAUGAGCUUGAUUUCCCUCCCUACGAUCAUGUCUAGCAUGGUGUCAACCACCUUGUGGACGACGAUGAGAUCUAUUAAUGGAAGCGUCAGAAUUUUCAGCUUCAGUUGAGUAUUGGGUAGGGUCAAGAGUGUUUACCCUAGCGGUUAGGGCUCUAUUCUCUUCACGAGUAGCGACUAACUCAGUUUGGACAGCCGUUAAUUGGUUUUGUAAUUGUGCCAACUGUUGGGUGAUUGCUUCAAUGUGGGAAGGGUCCAUGGUAAGGGUACUAGCGCUAGACGCAGCUGCAUUAAGGAGUUGGGCUGGAAUUGAUAGUUAUUGGGCUUGGAAAUUUGUUGUAAUUGAGUUAGAUAGGUUGGUUAUAUAUUGAAAAUACAU
rnacentral:lncRNA from 1 species